rnacentral:misc_RNA from 1 species
AGAGCGUGCUUCUUCAUUGAACUCAGAUAUGUGCUCUGCAGCAGCAACCCUAGGUUUAACAACCUCACAGUUUGCAAUCACAAGAGUAUUUGGAACACUGCCAUCAGUCUGGAUAUGAGAGAAUAAAAUAAGUAAAUAAAUCCACCAACAGAAGCUGCAGGAUAAUGCAUGAUAGUCUACAGGAUCAAUGCAUUGGGAACGUAGCAACAUCAAACAUGGAUAGGCAUUAUCGGCGAUGUAAAAAUGAUAAGUUCAGUAAUGAAGCAGCAUUGAGACAUUAGCAAUUUCCCCACGCAGUACCCAGUUCGAAAUUUUAACAAAAAUAAACUAGAUUCCACAGAAAAUUUCUAAACAAUUACUCUUAUAACUUUUGCCUAUUUACGCUGCAUUUGUUUGUAGAAAAUUAAGAGGUAAAGAAAAAGAAUAAACUCAAUGAUGAUUUUUUUU